ACUUUACAUAUAUAAGUAUAUUUAUUUGAAAAUAAAGGUAUAAAGAAAGUAUAAUAAAAUUUGUUUUAUUGGGGCGAUAGUUAUAAAAAUAAUAAUUGUAAUUUUAAUAAAAUAUAUAUAAAAAUAGUAUAGUUGAUCCUUUAUUAAGGAUUACAAGAUUAAGUU
rnacentral:rRNA from 1 species